AUUGCCUUACUAACGGCGAGUGAAGCGGCAAAGCUCAAAUUUGAAAUCUGGCGUCUUCGACGUCCGAGUUGUAAUUUGAAGAAGGCGACUUUGUAGCUGGUCCUUGUCUAUGUUCCUUGGAACAGGACGUCAUAGAGGGUGAGAAUCCCGUGUGGCGAGGAUCCCAGUUAUUUGUAAAGUGCUUUCGACGAGUCGAGUUGUUUGGGAAUGCAGCUCUAAGUGGGUGGUAAAUUCCAUCUAAAGCUAAAUAUUGGCGAGAGACCGAUAGCGAACAAGUACAGUGAUGGAAAGAUGAAAAGAACUUUGAAAAGAGAGUGAAAAAGUACGUGAAAUUGUUGAAAGGGAAGGGCAUUUGACCAGACAUGGCGUUUGCUUCGGCUUUCGCUGGGCCAGCAUCAGUUUUAGCGGUUGGAUAAAUCCUCGGGAAUGUGGCUCUGCUUCGGUAGAGUGUUAUAGCCCGUGGGAAUACAGCCAGCUGGGACUGAGGAUUGCGACUUUUGUCAAGGAUGCUGGCGUAAUGGUUAUAUGCCGCCCGUCUUGAUACACGGACCUCUUG
rnacentral:rRNA from 1 species